UACGUAGGGGGCUAGCGUUGUCCGGAAUCAUUGGGCGUAAAGCGCGCGUAGGCGGUCAGGUAAGUCCGGUGUGAAAGUCAAAGGCUCAACCUUUGAAUGCCGCUGGAUACUGCCUGACUUGAGUCCGGAAGGGGCGAGUGGAAUUCCUGGUGUAGCGGUGAAAUGCGCAGAUAUCAGGAGGAACACCAAUGGCGAAGGCAGCUCGCUGGGACGUUACUGACGCUGAGACGCGAAGGCGUGGGGAGCAAACAGG
rnacentral:rRNA from 1 species